rnacentral:snRNA from 1 species
AGCUUUGUGCAGCGGCAGUAUCGUAGCCAAUGAGGUUUAUCCGAGGUGCAAUUAUUGCUAAUUGAAAAAUAUAUAAAUAAAUAAAAUAAUUCUUUAAAAAAAAAUCCU